rnacentral:rRNA from 1 species
GAUGAACGCUAGCGGCAGGCCUAAUACAUGCAAGUCGAACGGUGUCUUCGGACAUAGUGGCGCACGGGUGCGUAACACGUAUGCAACCUACCUUACAUUGGGGGAUAGCCUUUCGAAAGGGAGACUAAUACCGCAUAAGACAGUAGCUGGGCAUCCAGCAGCUGUUAAAGAUUUAUCGAUGUAAGCUGUGCAUGCGUCCAAUUAGCAAGUUGGUGAGGUAACGGCUCACCAAGGCAAUGAUUGGUAGAGGAACUGAGAGGUCAAUCCCCCACACUGGCACUGAGAUACGGGCCAGACUCCUACGGGAGGCAGCAGUAGGGAAUAUUGGGCAAUGGACGUAAGUCUGACCCAGCCAUGCCGCGUGCAGGAUGAAGGCGUUAUGCGUUGUAAACUGCUUUUAUACAGGAAGAAACGACUCUUGCGAGAGGCAUUGACGGUACUGUAUGAAUAAGCACCGGCUAACUCCGUGCCAGCCGCCGCGGUAACAC